GAUGAAUACCGAAUACCGAAAUUAAAUGAGUAAAUGACCAAUACUGCAGCCCAAUGUAUUCUGUAGGGCCUAAAGGAGAAAAGGAAAGGCCCAUUGUAAAAAUAUUAGUAAAAUGUCCAGCCCAAAUUCCUAACCCUAAGUCUUAAGACCUUCACUCCUUCACCUUCAGUACUUCACCAGUCACCACUUACUCAGUUACUCUCACGACUCCUCUCCUCUCCUCUCUAUUUUAGCGCAAAUUCUUCUAUCAGAGAUAUGGUCUGGAAUGAUAGCUCAAAAGAUUUCCUCGUUCUUGAUUUGUACUCGCAAGAUGCCUCAGAAAGGUAUAUCCAUGUCAGAUGAAAUGUACCUCCUGGCUGAGCAAGUUAAGAGGCUUAGCGGAGAGAUUGCAUUCAGCAGCAGUACAUUGAAGCGGUUGAUGCAGCAAUCUGUAAAUGAUCCUGAGAGUUCAAGAAAUCAAGCAUAUAUCUGUUGUUAUUCUUUUUCAAUCUUCAAAACAAUUUGAUGGUUAAGUUGAAUGGGACAAUAAUUUGUUUGACUGCUAUAACCUACUGUGGGUAAUGAGGGUCUCUUUUAAAUUUUUUCCAAAAAGCAGUCUUUUUACUAUUGUACUGUUGGAUAUGAAUUUAUCAUUUGAUUCAUAUCACAAAAUUCAAGGUUCUGUGUCUCUCUGUUAAGUUUCGAACUUAUUCUCUUCUAGUGUCAUUACCAAAAUGAUAAAGCAUCUCCAAUAUUUGAAGUCCCCAGGCAGCCUGCAAAUUGGAAAUGUUGUGUUGUUAACUUGUUAUUACAUUGACCCCUUGUAUAGUAUA